UUCUUUGUCUUAGAAGGAAUAUUAUUUAGUCUACCAUUUUGCACUCAGCUACUUUACAUUUCAUGUGAAUAUCAAUUGAGUUUUUUGUUCAACGAAAAAGGGGAUAAGGCUAGUCUGGAUGUUAGCUAACUCCUAACAAAAAUAUCUAUUUGCUUUUCUUCUUUUCAUAAUUUUUUGUAUUUCCAGUUCUGUCAAUUCAGUCUAUAUAACCUUUACCUUGAUUCUUGGAGAGCCUUCUAUAUGAUUUAUAUGAUUUAGCAUAUAUGCUCAUUUGGUUCUUGUUUACAUAAUUAUGGGUCUUUUAAUUGCGCUUGUUUUGUUCAGGUACAAAGGCAUUCUCUUGCAGCUGGUAAGUGAGGUUCUUUAUACAACAUUUUUCAUAUAUAUAUAUAUAUAUAUAUAUAUUGUGCUCAUGAUUUUCGGAUCUUUAUUCUUGGGAAGGGAAAAAAUGAGUAAAAACCCUUAAGAAUUUGGAUUCGGGGGUUGGUUACGCGAAGGGAAGGUGCUAGCACCCUAAGCGUCUGUUGACAUAUAUAUAUACGAGUUAGAAUCCAUUGACACCAGGUGCAAGUCAAAUGACUUAUACCAAAUCUCAACAGCUAAUUUUAAUUGAUCGCACGUUCAAAUUAUAUCAACAAAAGAAACUAAUAAAACACAUUGCAGUGUAUCCGUGAACCGAAUAUUAUGAAACAUCAAUAAUCUCGCAAACCUUGAUUCUGCAUUGUAGGUUCUACGCAACUAAUUGUUUCAAUCAAGACUUAGGCUAACACCCCUUUAAGUCAUUGUUCUGAGAUUUAGAUUUUGAACCUUCCAUCAUUGACCAAGAAAUUAGAAAAUAACAGUACAGAUUCGUGAGUGAUCUCUAAUUGGCCAUACAACAAUAUAUCAAUUCACAGUUUGGAGACAAUUUUUAAAAUGGUAUGCAAUAUAAGCUUAUUUUUAUUACUGUAUCAUUUAAUUUAAUAAAAGUAAUUUGAAACAAAAUAAUGUUUUUUUUUUUAUUGUAGUUUGGAUGCAAUUUAGUGACAUUAUUCUGAAUAAAUAUGUUUGUGGUUUGCCAGGUCAAUGCAUUGUUAUAUGCUGGGGCUGGAGUUCAAAACCCCAGACACCCCCUCUUAUUCACUAUAAAAAGUGAAUUUUAGCAACUAGGCUAGUUGACAAAAAAAAAAUGUUUGUGGUUUCUCUAAGUAUGUUAAUUUUUUGACGGAAUCAACUUUUAUAUUUUAGUCUCUUUAAAAACUUUCUUCAAAUUUUGGUCUCUAAAUUUUAUGUUACCAAUUUUAGUUUUUCUUUUUCACAAAAGUUCACAUUGCAUAUUUCAAGUGAUAUUUUUCUAUGACGUGUCAUUGAAAAACCUUAAAAUAUCAUUAAUAAUUUUAACUAUUUUCAUAAAAUCUUUAUUAAUAUAUGAAUGACUUUAAAUUAUAUAUUAAAUUGUUAAAUUAAAGAUUAAAUAGUGUUAAGCAAGGUAAUCAAAACCGGACCGGACGUUAAACCGAUGUAGGCAUGGGUUUAAGGUUUUGGGGUUCAACCGGGGUUGAACCGAGGUUCAACCGGAAUUAAUUAAAUAAUAUUUUUUUUAUUAUAACAUUCUAGUAAAAAUAUAAUUUUUUUAUUACAUAUAUCAAAACUCAAAAAAAAAAAAUAUAUAUGAAUACUCACCUAUCGAGCCCAAAGUCAUUAUUAUUUUUUAACAUAUAAUAUAUAUUUCUUUUUAUUUUUUAACAUAUAAUAUAUAUUUCUUUUUAAAUGACAUUUUUCAUGGGCUUCGUUUAUAAGCCCAACCCAUCACUAACCCUAAAUUAUCACAUUCAAUAUUGAUUUCUUGAUGAGGACAAUCAGCCGCCCCUUUCCCUUUUCCAAUCUCUCACUCUCAGAUUCCAAUUGAUUCACUAUUCUUCUCCAAUUUUCUUUUUUCUGAUCUUACAUCUUCACUUGUACUUCCAUGGAAACAUCACCAUAAUGAAUUGCUUUGCUUGCUUUCCCUUCUUUACUAAUCUUUCUUCUGAAAUCUUGUUUCUUACUGAUCAUUAUCAAACCAAUAUAUUUUCCUGUCUUGAAUCUUGUAGCAAUUGAUAAUUGUACAAAUCUUGAAACAAUUUGUGUGAAUGAGAACAUAUCAAUAAGAUUCCCGUCCUUCCGAGAAAAAACGAAACCACAACCGGUCAGACUUGCAAAACCGCCUGAACCGGCGGUUUCCCGGUUUAUUCCGGUUUUUGGCCGGUUUUUCGGUUGUUUUCCCGGUUCUAUGAACCAGCGGUUUUUAGGGUCACUCGGACCGGUCAGUGUUCCGGUUCCCGGUUCAACCGAUUGAACCGGCCGGUCCGGUCCGGUUUUCACUACCGUGGUGUUAAGUCAUUAAAGUAAUGACAUUGAGUUCGUUUGUUAUAACUUUUUUAAGAAAAAAAUCACUUAUUUUAAAAAAAUAAUCAUUUUUAAGAGUUUUGCAUCCAUUUGUUAGAACUUUUUAAAAAAAUCAGAAUCUAGAAAAAAUCUAAAAACAACUUCAAAUGUGAAGCUGGUAAGAGCAGCUUCUCAAAAAAUAGUUUUUUUUUUUAGAGGAGAGAGAAAAUAUUGUUUAAUAGAUUGAACUAAUUUUGUAACAGAAAAUCCCUUUUAUAUAGUUGUAUCCAAACAAACUAGAUUAUUUGAUUAAAAAAAAUUAUUUUUAUUACGGUAAACAAACACAAUAGAUUCUUAUUAUUUAUAAAAUCUCUAAAUUAUUUUAUGUCAAAACCACUUAUAUUUUAAUCCGUAACAAACGGACCCAUUGUUAGAGGACUUUUUUUUGGACGAAGAAGUAAUAUAUAUGAAUGCACCAAGGGACAUUGUCAUAAAACGAGCAUCAAUGUUAGGUUUCUUGGAUCAGAUUUGUUUAUGUUUUUAUUUUUAUUUUUGUGUGUCUCAAUUUGUUCUUCCGAAUUAAUUUUGUAUAUUUUUUAAUUUAGGAGGAUGAUGCUCCAAUUGUCAUGGACGUGAAAGAUCAUAAGGGAGGUGUUUAUGAAGAAAUUUAUAGCCUUGUUAAAUCUACUCAACAGCUCAGGAUGCCAGAUGUGGGAACUCUCGUGAUAAAAAAAGAUGUCAAGGUAAUGGAAUUGAACAAACCCUCGGUCGCACUUCAAAAAAUGCAACAUCAUCCUUCGUCUUCGUCUUUUGCUGAUCUUACCGACUCGGAAAUAGUCAGCAGAUACCGUCUUCGUCUAUCUCGUCUUGGUCCAUUUGCUCGAAGGUCACCACCACCUGGUGAGUGAGUUUAACAUUUAUAUUAUUCUCAAUAUUGUUUGUUUGUUAAUGGAUAUGGUUGAAUGAAUUUAAUGGAAGAUGAUAAUGUGUUCCACUGUAGAGAAUUGGGGCUUAGGGAUUUUGAGAAAUUGAGCGUCUCUUUGAACAAACCCUAAUUUCUAUAACUAUCAUAAUUGCUUCUUCUUUCUUAUUCUUUCAGACGUACAUCAAAAAAUGCCUGCUGCUCCUCUGAAACCCCGCAGAAGAAGCGCAAUUCGUCAAUCUCUGUUACCAUGUGGUGAGUCUGUUCGUUACUCGUUAUGUUGAUUCACUAUUCAUUCCCUCCCUGCAAUUCAAUGGAUAUAUAUAUUCAUUCUGUUAGCAUAAGAAAGAAAUUAACUUGUUGGAAGAUGAUUAAUGACAUGAUAAUGUGUUCCAUUGUAGUUAAUUUAAUCGAUGAUUAAUUGUUCCUUUCUCUACUUUUCUAUCAGAUUUUAAUCAAAUCGAAAAUCGAAUCGAAAAUCAAAUCGAAAAGGAUAGGCUUAUCAAAUGUGUCACUUUGGCAAUACGGGAUUAUAAUUCACAAACUCGGAACGACUACCAAUUGGUCGUUAAUGAUGAGUUUAUUUCGCAAAUGGUUAAUUGUUUCCUUUACCGUAUCACAUUUCAAGCCAUGAAUGCUGACAAGGAAUAUGCAACUUUUGAAGCCCAUGUGUAUGGAUUUGGAAAAAGAGAUUAUGAUUAUUUGAAUCUCAGAAAGUUUUUUAGAAUCAGGAUGGAAGGGACCAGUACUUGGUAAUUUAUUUUAAUCUUAUCACCAGAUUGUUUGUCAUUUUUUCAAUAUGUUUCUUUGCAUCUGAAAUUAUUUCAUACAUAGCAGCAAUGCUUUCCACCCCCCUUUACCAUACCACAUGUUUAGCCUCAUUUUUUCGCAGCUUGUCAUUUGGGGUUUUAAUUUGCCACGUUUAGCGUGCGUCCUGUCCUGAAUAUGUUCAUGCUUGACAUUUUGAUAUUUCUGAACAGCAUGCCUGUGUCAUGCCCUGCCCCUCCCACUAAUUUGAUUACAUUGUAAUUUUAGCUUUGCUUUGCUUUUUACUCGGUUGUUUCCCUUUCGUUCCCAUUAAUUAUUUUAUGAUCUUUUUCAUCUGUUCCUAUGCAAUUUGGGUUUAUAUUUAAUAACAUUAUCAGCACAUUCUUCUUAUUCUUUUUGUAAAUUCGUUCUCAAAUUUCCCCUAUAAUGUGUUUGCAUAUAUUAAAAACGGAAAAGUUAACAUCCCCCCUAUCAUGGGGCUUUUAGCCAUAUUCCCUUUUUUCUCUUGAAAAACUAGACAAUCCUUGUCUAUAUAUAAAGAAAUAAAUUUAAUAAGUACAUAUUAGUCGUUUCGAUCAAAGUAUUUAUUUUACGGCCACAUAAUUUAUGCAUUUAACCAUUCCACCUAAACCUGUGCUCCACCUACCCCACCGGCCACUGAACAUUUUGGCGGCAAUAUUAGAGUUGCCGGAAUCUUAUAUCGUCGAUUUAUACUCCCCGCCUUUCUCUGUUUCAACUCUUAGCUUUUCUCUCCAUUCCACUCGUUGGUGGUAGUAGAAUUGCCUGUUUGUGUGGCCUUCCCCCCAUCUGCAAACAUUGGACCGUGUAAUUGUUGUAGGUAAGUUGUUGGUAAAUGAAUGGUGGGGCACGUCUGCGUGAACAAGGCUGGAGGAACCUUUGUCCGGAUAGGGGUUGCGGGGUGGUGGAGAUCCGCUGGACAGUGACUUUUGUCUCUUAUUAAUCUUUUCAGCAAUGGGUGAUGAACUGUACAGGCCUGAUGCUUGGGCUGUGAAUAUAUAAUUCUCUGUCUUAGAAGGAAUAUUAUGUAGUCUACCAUUUUGCACUCAGCUACUUUACAUUUCGUGUGAAUAUCAAUUGAGUUUUUUGUUCAACGAAAAAGGGGAUAAGGCUAGUCUGGAUGUUAGCUAACUCCUAACAAAAUAUCUAUUUGCUUUUCUUCUUUUCAUAAUUUUUUGUAUUUCCAGUUCUGUCAAUUCAGUCUUUAUAACCUUUACCUUGAUUCUUGGAGAGCCUUCUAUAUGAUUUAGCAGAUAUGCUCAUUUGGUUCUUGUUUACAUAAUUAUG
rnacentral:lncRNA from 1 species